UUUAAAUCUCCAAAAGAAAUGUUACAGGGUGCGGCCAAGAGGGGGGACCUCAAAUGGGCAUUUGAAAUGGGGUCCAGAACUCAAGGUGUCCAGGAGAUUUUAGGA